AUUGAACGCUGGCGGCAGGCCUAACAUAUGCAAGUCGAGCGGAUGAAGGGAGCUUGCUCCUGGAUUCAGCGGCGGACGGGUGAGUAAUGCCUAGGAAUCUGCCUGGUAGUGGGGGAUAACGUCCGGAAACGGGCGCUAAUACCGCAUACGUCCUGAGGGAGAAAGUGGGGGAUCUUCGGACCUCACGCUAUCAGAUGAGCCUAGGUCGGAUUAGCUAGUUGGUGGGGUAAAGGCCUACCAAGGCGACGAUCCGUAACUGGUCUGAGAGGAUGAUCAGUCACACUGGAACUGAGACACGGUCCAGACUCCUACGGGAGGCAGCAGUGGGGAAUAUUGGACAAUGGGCGAAAGCCUGAUCCAGCCAUGCCGCGUGUGUGAAGAAGGUCUUCGGAUUGUAAAGCACUUUAAGUUGGGAGGAAGGGCAGUAAGUUAAUAUCUUGCUGUUUUGACGUUACCAACAGAAUAAGCACCGGCUAACUUCGUG
rnacentral:rRNA from 1 species